UCUGGGUUCCCUGAUUUUUUGAUUCUUUUUAACUCAGGUAAAAGUUGCAGAUAGAAGUGCUGUUGUCACAGCAAAUGCAGAAACACGGGUUGUGAAGCCAUUGGGACUGCAAGAAGUGAUAGACGCUGAGACUGCCAAGCACAAUCGAGGGCGAUGUUUUAUCCGACCAUCUGGUACAGAGGAUAUAAUACGUGUUUAUGCUGAGGCAUCCACACAGGAAGCUGCGGACAGUCUUGCCCACUUUGUGGUGCAACAUGUUGACCACUUUCUUGGUUUUUCCAGUCCUCCCCAAUUGGCUUGAACAGACAAAUUUCCAAAUUUUGGAUAUUUAGUUGAUAGGUCAUGAUGCAUGCAGAAACAUCAGCAAGCCCCUGAAUGGUUACACACACACACACACAUAUACACAUACAUACAUACAUACAUACAUACAUACAUACAGAUAAGAUAACCAUGAUCAUAACCAUCAAAGUCUUUGUUUGUUUCAACAUAUUAAGGCCAGCUUUAUGAAACUCCAUUCCUUUGUCCUUUUUUAGGGGAGAGUAAGAUGAAUCCAAGUUUUACAUUAACUUCUACAUUCAUCAUGCAGAGGAACUUUUAAGGAUUUAUAGCAGAUGUUUUUCAUAUCAUGAUCAAUGCUAGAUUUAGUUUUGUUGUUUUUGCUGACAGGAAAGUAAUGUAACCGCUUGAUAUCUAGUUGUUUCUGCAUAUUUUUGUUUGAAUAGUCAAUGACCAAAUUAUAUUAUUUU